CUUUUAAUGGGUGUAAUAUUUUCUGGAUGCAACAAUAUGUUUUAAACUCUAACAAAACAUGAUCAAGGUUUCAGUGGCGUAGCAGACUAAGGGUAGCAUUGUAAGCAAAUCAUUUUACAAAACACUUUUUUUAAUAAAAUGUUUAAUAAUAGUUCAGCUUAUGCGCUGACAUCUACCUUUCCAGACCCCUUGCUUACAUUUGCUUAUGGUUUGAAAAAAAUUAUUUUGAUGUGAAAUUAACAAUUUUAUCACUUCCCUUUUACAACAACAAACUAGAGGCUCUAAAGAGCCUGUGUCGCUCACCUUGGUCUAUGUGACUAUUAAACAAAGGAAGCAGAUGGAUUCAUGACAAAAUUGUAUUUUGGUGAUGGUGAUGUGUUUGUACAUCUUACUUUACUGAACAUCCUUGCUGCUUACAAUUAUCUCUAUCUAUAAUGAACUUGGCCCAGUAGUUUCAGUGGAAAAUGUUAGUAAAAAUUUACAAAUUUUAUAAAAAUUGUUGAAAAUUGACUAUAAAGGACAAUAACUCCUUAGGGGGUCAACUGACCAUUUCGUUCAUGUUGACUUAUUUGUAAAUCUUACUUUGCUGAACAUUAUUGCUGUAUACAGUUUAUCUCUAUCUAUAAUAUAUAUUCAAGACAAUAACCAAAAACAGCAAAAUUUCCUUAAAAUUACCAAUUCAGGGGCAGCAACCCAACAACGGGUUGUCCGAUUCAUCUGGGCAGAUAGAUCUUGACCUGAUAAAUAGUUUAACCCCAUGUCAGAUUUGCUCUUAAUGCUUUGGUUUUUGAGUUAUAAGCCAAAAACUGCAUUUUACCCCUAUGUUCUAUUUUUAGCCAUGGUGGCCAUCUUGGUUGAGUGGCCAGGUCAUCGGACACAUUUUUUUAAACUAGAUACCCCAAAGAUGAUUGUGGAUAAGUUUGGAUUAAUUUAGCCCAGUAGUUUCAGAGGAGAAGAUUUUUGUAAAAGAUUACUAAGAUUUACGAAAAAUGGUUAAAAAUUGACUAUAAAGAGCAAUAACUCCUAAAGGGGUCAACUGACCAUUUCGGUCAUGUUGACUUAUUUGUAAAUCUUACUUUGUUGAACAUAAUGGCUGUUUACAGUUUAUCUCUAUCUAUAAUAAUAUACAAGAUAAUAACCAAAAACAGCAAAAUUUCCUUAAAAUUACCAAUUCAGGGGCAGCAACCCAACAACAGGUUGUCAGAUUCAUCUGAAAAUUUCAGGGUAGAUAGAUCUUGACCUGAUAAACAAUUUUACCUAGUCAGAUUUGCUCUAAAUGCUUUGGUUUUUAAGUUAUAAGCCAAAAACUGCAUUUUACCCCUAUGUUCUAUUUUUAGCUGUGGCGGCCAUCUUGGUUGGUUGGCCGGGUCACCGGACACAUUUUUUAAACAAAAUACUCCAAAGAUAAUUGUGGCCAAGUUUGGAUAAAUUUGGCCCAGUAGUUUCAGAGGAGAAGAUUUUUGUAAAAGAUUACUAAGAUUUACGAAAAAUGGUUAAAAAUUGACUAUAAAGGGCAAUAACUCCUAAAGUGGUCAAUUGACCAUUUCGGUCAUGUUGACUUAUUUGCAAAUCUUACUUUGAUGAACAUUAUUGCUGUUUACAGUUUAUCUCUAUCUAUAAUAAUAUUCAAGAUAAUAAGCAAAAACUGCAAAAUUUCCAUAAAAUAACUAAUUCAGGGGCAGCAACCCAACAACGGGUUGUCCGAUUUGUCUGAAAAUUUCAGGGCAGAUAGAUCUUGACCUGAUAAACAGUUUUACCCCAUGUCAGAUUUGCUCUAGAUGCUUUGGUUUUUGAGUUAUAAGCCAAAAACUGCAUUUUACCCCUAUGUUCUAUUUUUAGCCAUGGCGGCCAUCUUGGUUGGUUGGCCGGGUCACCGGACACAAUUUUUAAACUAGAUACCCCAAUGAUGAUUGUGACCAAGUUUGGUUGAAAUUAGCCCAGUAGUUUCAGAGGAGAAGAUUUUUGUAAAAGUUAACGACGGACGACGACGACGACGGACGACGGACGACGACGACGGACGCCGGACGCCAAGUGAUGAGAAAAGCUCACUUGGCCCUUCGGGCCAGGUGAGCUAAAAAGGGGAGGGUAGAAUUUUUUCCAGGAAUCCAUAUACAAACUAGGGCAUUUUUCAAAAGUCCUACAAUCUUUACUAAAACAAAAUUAUUACAGUAAGUAUAUUCUCAACAUCUUAACGUACUUAGCAAUAUUUUCGAAACCGCAAUAUAUCUCAUUGAAUAUAUAAGAAAAAUUCAAAAAAAUAAUUUGAUACGAGUAAGGUAUCAUAAAUACCUUAUAUGAUCUUAUAUAAAUUUCGAAUUCCAUUGGGUGUAGCAAUGGGGACUUCUGACUGCCGUAACAGUGAUUCCAUAAACAAUCAACUUAUUGUUUCAACAAAAUGGAGGUCCAUGUCCACACCC
rnacentral:lncRNA from 1 species